rnacentral:rRNA from 1 species
AGAGCCUACCAUGGUGGUAACGGGUAACGGGGUGUUAGGGCACGACACCGGAGAGGGAGCCUGAGAAACGGCUACCACAUCCAAGGAUGGCAGCAGGCGCGCAAAUUACCCAAUCCCGACACGGGGAGGUAGUGACAAUAAAUAACAAUACGGGGUUCUUUCGGAUUUCGUAAUUGGAAUGAGUACAAUUUAAAUCUCUUAACGAGGAACAAUUGGAGGGCAAGUCUGGUGCCAGCAGCCGCGGUAAUUCCAGCUCCAAUAGCGUAUAUUAAAGUUGUUGUAGUUAAAAAGCUCGUAGUUGAAUUUCGGGAUCGACGGGUCGGUCGCGCCUCUGGUGUGUACUGGCCCUGUCGGUUUCUCCCUUCUGACGAACCACGAUGUCAUUAAUUUGGUGUCGUGGGAAAUCAGGACUGUUACUUUGAAAAAAUUAGAGUGUUUAAAGCAGGCAUUCGCUUGAAUACAUUAGCAUGGAAUAAUGAAAUAGGACGUUUGAUCUUAUUUUGUUGGUUUCUAAGAUCGACGUAAUGAUUAAUAGGGAUAGUUGGGGGCAUUAGUAUUCAAUUGUCAGAGGUGAAAUUCUUGGAUUUAUUGAAGACUAACUACUGCGAAAGCAUUUGCCAAGGAUGUUUUCAUUAAUCAAGAACGAAAGUUAGGGGAUCGAAGACGAUCAGAUACCGUCGUAGUCUUAACCAUAAACUAUGCCGACUAGGGAUCGGAUGAUGUUAAUUUUUUAAUGACUCAUUCGGCGCCUUACGGAACA